rnacentral:lncRNA from 1 species
AAAAAUGUUUUGAAGUUAAAAAGUUAUGACUGUUUUAGCGAGGGAGGGUAAAUCUGGGAAAAUGUGAAAAUUGUUAUGAACGUCCACUUUUGGCGAAUUAUUUGGACUGCCUAAUGAUACUGAAUUGGGAGUUUGAUAUUUUUUUCAAAAUAGUCUCAUAUGAUACGAAAAACUUAUCCAAAAAUCAGAUCAAUCGAAGUUAUGAGCAACGCGUGAGAAAUUCGUGAAGUAGUGGAC